rnacentral:rRNA from 1 species
UACAGAGGUCCCAAGCGUUGUUCGGAUUCACUGGGCGUAAAGGGUGCGUAGGUGGUUGGGUAAGUCUGAUGUGAAAUCUCUGAGCUCAACUCAGAAACUGCAUUGGAUACUAUCCGGCUAGAGAAUCGGAGGGGGGACUGGAAUACUUGGUGUAGCAGUGAAAUGCGUAGAUAUCAAGUGGAACACCAGUGGCGAAGGCGAGUCCCUGGACGAUUUCUGACACUGAGGCACGAAAGCUAGGGGAGCAAACAGG